AGCUUUGCGCAGUGGCAGUAUCGUAGCCAAUGAGGUUUAUCAGAGGCGCGAUUAUCACCAAUUGAAAAUUUUUCCCAAUACUCCGCUAUGACAACUUGAAAUAUAGUUGACACUGGCAAUUUUUGACAUUCUCUACAGAGA
ensembl:snRNA U4 U4 spliceosomal RNA